AACGAACGCUGGCAGCAUGCCUAACACAUGCAAGUCGAACGAGACCUUCGGGUCUAGUGGCGCACGGGUGCGUAACGCGUGGGAACCUGCCCUUAGGUUCGGAAUAACUCCCCGAAAGGGGUGCUAAUACCGGAUAAUGUCUUCGGACCAAAGAUUUACCGCCUUUGGAUGGGCCCGCGUUGGAUUAGCUAGUUGGUAGGGUAAAAGCCUACCAAGGCGACGAUCCAUAGCUGGUCUGAGAGGAUGAUCAGCCACACUGGGACUGAGACACGGCCCAGACUCCUACGGGAGGCAGCAGUGGGGAAUAUUGGACAAUGGGCGAAAGCCUGAUCCAGCAAUGCCGCGUGAGUGAUGAAGGCCUUAGGGUUGUAAAGCUCUUUUACCCGGGAUGAUAAUGACAGUACCGGGAGAAUAAGCUCCGGCUAACUCCGUG
rnacentral:rRNA from 1 species